GAGCGUGACGGCGCGAGCAGGUGCGAAAGCAGGUCAUAGUGAUCCGGUGGUUCUGAAUGGAAGGGCCAUCGCUCAACGGAUAAAAGGUACUCCGGGGAUAACAGGCUGAUACCGCCCAAGAGUUCAUAUCGACGGCGGUGUUUGGCACCUCGAUGUCGGCUCAUCACAUCCUGGGGCUGAAGUAGGUCCCAAGGGUAUGGCUGUUCGCCAUUUAAAGUGGUACGCGAGCUGGGUUUAGAACGUCGUGAGACAGUUCGGUCCCUAUCUGCCGUGGGCGCUGGAGAACUGAGGGGGGCUGCUCCUAGUACGAGAGGACCGGAGUGGACGCAUCACUGGUGUUCGGGUUGUCAUGCCAAUGGCACUGCCCGGUAGCUAAAUGCGGAAGAGAUAAGUGCUGAAAGCAUCUAAGCACGAAACUUGCCCCGAGAUGAGUUCUCCCUGACUCCUUGAGAGUCCUGAAGGAACGUUGAAGACGACGACGUUGAUAGGCCGGGUGUGUAAGCGCAGCGAUGCGUUGAGCUAACCGGUACUAAUGAACCGUGAGGCUUAACCUUACAACGCCGAAGCUGUU
rnacentral:rRNA from 1 species